UACGGGGGGGGUAAGCGUUGUUCGGAAUUACUGGGCGUAAAGGGCUCGUAGGCGGCCAACUAAGUCAGACGUGAAAUCCCUCAGCUUAACUGGGGAACUGCGUCUGAUACUGGAUGGCUUGGAUUCGGGAGAGGAAUGCGGAAUUCCAGGUGUAGCGGUGAAAUGCGUAGAUAUCUGGAGGAACACCGGGUGGCGAAGGCGGCAUUCUGGACCGAUAUUGACGCUGAGGAGCGAAAAGCCGGGGAGCAAACGGG
rnacentral:rRNA from 1 species